rnacentral:misc_RNA from 1 species
GACUCUUCAAAAGUGUCAAACGGAUGUGUAUCGGAUACUGCAAAAGUACAGCAUUUUGAAGAAUCCGACACAGGUGAAAUAACAAUUUUGGAGAGUUAGCAACUUAGAAGAAAAAAACAAAAUUCUCACUCCAAAAACAAUGAGUCCACAUGCAAACAGUCACCAAACAUGUUUGAAAACAGUUCUUAGGGAACUCCAGCCUAGCACAACUGUAUUGAAUCAGAAUGGCAGGUGUUUAUUUGUCACAACUCACAGAGGACAUGUAACCUUGAUAGAACAAAUAGCAUUCUAAUAUUUCUUAAUUGAGAACGUAAACAGCAUUUUGUGAAAGUAGGGAUGUUCCGGAGUCACAAUUGUUGAUGGGAAAUUUGGGUGAUUCACAGCAUCAGGGAAUCCUUGAGUCUCCAAACACACGGCUGAAUAAGGCUGAUAGACAAAUCCACCUUUCCCUUUCUUUACAAGGGUGUUUGCAGUGUAUAAUUGGACAGCAGGUGCGGUCGUUUGUAAACUCAUCACUCUUCCUGACUUAUUAUCGUGAACUGUUGCCGUGGGCUUCAGUUUUUCAGUGCUGUCUAGUGGAUAGUUUAUGUCAUAUCCAUUUUGGAGUUUCUUGAACUGGCUCCCAAUUUUACGGGGUUUAAGGAAAUCAUAGGGCGUGUUCUUGACAGGGGCGAUUUUUCCUGUUGGAAUGAAAUGUUGAUCUAAUGGGGUGAUGUGUGAAGCAAAGAUUUGAAUAUCGUUGGACAAAACAUCGCCACUGUUGUGUCCACCAAGGUUCCAAUAAGUAUGUUGAGCCAAGUUAACUGGAGUGGCCUUGUUUAGAGCUUUUGCUUUCAUUACCACACUAAGCUUGUUAGGGUCUUCCAAUGCAUAGGUAACAGAGGCAAGAAGAUCACCAGGAAAUCCUUGUUCACCAUCAGUACUGUGGUAGGUUAAAGUAAUGUGAGGAUGAGGACCAUCUUUCUUGUACUUGCUCACCUUCCAAACAACAUGGCUAAAUCCUUUAGGGCCACCGUGUAUUGUGUUCUUGCCAUCAUUGGCGAUAAGCUUAUAAAGGGUUCCAUUUAGAGUAAAUCGAGCACCAGCAAUCCGGUUAACAACUCUUCCAACAAUAGCUCCAAAGGAACUCGUAUCGUUCACGUAUUCCCCAAUGGUGUCAUAUCCAAGAACAAUAUCACCUAUUUUUCCAUUCUUAUCAGGAAGAAGAACAGAGAUGAUUCUGGCACCAUAACUAGUGACCUUAACAGAGAAAUCUCCUUUCUUGAUCUCAUAAAUUCCUAUCUUGUGUCCUGUAGCAGCCCAUAGAUGAAGAAUGAAGAAACAGAUCAAC